GGGAACUACGAGCCGAGCUUAAAACCCAAAGGACUUGACGGUACCCCAUAUCCCCCUAGAGGAGCCUGUCCUAUAAUCGAUAACCCCCGUUUUACCUCACCAUUUCUAGCAACUCAGCCUGUAUACCUCCGUCGUCAGCUUACCACGUGAGCGCUAGUGAGCUCAAUGUUUUUUCAACUAAACGUCAGGUCAAGGUGCAACACAUGAAAUGGGAAGAGAUGGGCUACACUUUUAAGAUAGAUCACACGGAAGACUAACUAUGAAAUCUUAGUCCAGAAGGGCCGGAUUUAGUAAGUUAAAAACCCAACCCCGAAAAGUCCCUUUUUUUAACCCCGGCCACUGGGGGGUGUUGGACCACACCGGCCC
rnacentral:rRNA from 1 species